rnacentral:rRNA from 1 species
GACAGAGGUGCCAAGCGUUAGGCGGAAUCACUGGGCUUAAAGCGUGUGUAGGCGGAUGCCUAAGUACCUUGUGAAAUCCCACGGCUCAACCGUGGAACUGCUGGGCAUACUGGGAGUCUUGAGCCACCUAGGGGCGAGCGGAACAAAUGGUGGAGCGGUGAAAUGCGUAGAUAUCAUUUGGAACGCCAACGGAGAAAUCAGCUCGCUGGGGGUGUGCUGACGCUGAGACACGAAAGCCAGGGGAGCGAACGGG